rnacentral:rRNA from 1 species
UACGGGGGGGGCAAGCGUUGUUCGGAAUUACUGGGCGUAAAGGGCUCGUAGGCGGCCAACUAAGUCAGACGUGAAAUCCCCAGGCUCAACCUGGGAACUGCGUCUGAUACUGGAUGGCUUGAAUCCGGGAGAGGGAUGCAGAAUUCCAGGUGUAGCGGUGAAAUGCGUAGAUAUCGGAAGGAACAUCAGUGGCGGAGGCGACUUCCUGGACCAAUACUGACGCUCAGGUGCGAAAGCGUGGGGAGCAAACAGG